CUUGUUGGUGAGGUAAUGGCUCACCAAGGCAACGACGGGUAGCUGGUCUGAGAGGAUGUCCAGCCACACUGGGACUGAGACACGGCCCAGACUCCUACGGGAGGCAGCAGUUAGGAAUCUUGCGCAAUGGGCGAAAGCCUGACGCAGCGACGCCGCGUGCGGGAUGAAUGCCUUCGGGUUGUAAACCGCUUUCAGCAGGGACGAAAUUGACGGUACCUGCAGAAGAAGCCCCGGCCAACUACGUGCCAGCAGCCGCGGUAAUACGUAGGGGGCGAGCGUUGUCCGGAUUUAUUGGGCGUAAAGAGCUCGUAGGUGGUUUGGUAAGUCGGAUGUGAAAUCUCCAGGCUCAACCUGGAGGGGUCAUUCGAGACUGCCAUGACUAGAGUUCGGUAGAGGAGUACGGAAUUCCUGGUGGAGCGGUGAAAUGCGCAGAUAUCAGGAGGAACACCCGUAGCGAAGGCGGUACUCUGGGCCGAUACUGACACUGAGGAGCGAAAGCGUGGGGAGCGAACAGGAUUAGAUACCCUGGUAGUCCACGCCGUAAACGUUGGGCACUAGGUGUGGGGUUCUAUCGACGGAUUCCGUGCCGUAGCUAACGCAUUAAGUGCCCCGCCUGGGGAGUACGGCCGCAAGGCUAAAACUCAAAGGAAUUGACG
rnacentral:rRNA from 1 species